rnacentral:misc_RNA from 1 species
UCUCCGUUGGUGAACCAGCGGAGGGAUCAUUACCGAGUUUACAACUCCCAAACCCAAUGUGAACCAUACCAAACUGUUGCCUCGGCGGGGUCACGCCCCGGGUGCGUCGCAGCCCCGGAACCAGGCGCCCGCCGGAGGGACCAACCAAACUCUUUCUGUAGUCCCCACGCGGACGUUAUUAUUACAGCUCUGAGCAAAAAUUCAAAAUGAAUCAAAACUUUCAACAACGGAUCUCUUGGUUCUG